ensembl:lncRNA
GUGUACUUUGUGUAGUGAUGAGCUAUGUAUAAGCUUCCUAUGCUGAGCUAUUUAGUAUUUGUAAUAUGCAUCUCUGAACAAAUAUCAUCCUCAGUUCUGCUCCUGAGAAGUCAGCUGAGAGAUUCUUGUAGUGAAUGAGCAGUGGAAAUGUGCACCGUACUUCAUAGAAGUCUAUAAAUCAACUGUACCUUUAGAAUAGAGUCAUCGCCUUCCACUCAGCUUUUCUUGUUACAAUGAAGAUAAGAGGUUCUGCGCUACAAACCAAGGACCUGGAAGAAAAGAUGAGGCUGGGACUCCGGGCCCUAAGCAGCAGAUGGAUCUUUGUCAGUCUCUGGACACACUCUGG